AUUCCUUUCACAAAGAAAUGGAGGGCAGGAACGAGGCUAGUGUGGUUUGGAAGUAGUAUCUGUUCUUAUCAGUUUAAUAUCUGAUACGUCCUCUAUCCGAGGACAAUAUAUUAAAUGGAUUUUUGGAGCAGGGAGAUGGAAUAGGAGCUUGCUCCGUCCACUCCGCGCAUCGACCUGGUAUUGCAGUACUUCCAGGAAUGGUGCACCCCCU
rnacentral:snRNA from 1 species